rnacentral:rRNA from 1 species
AUUGAACGCUGGCGGCAUGCUUUACACAUGCAAGUCGAACGGCAGCGCGGGCUUCGGCCUGGCGGCGAGUGGCGAACGGGUGAGUAAUGCAUCGGAACGUGCCCAGUAGUGGGGGAUAGCCCGGCGAAAGCCGGAUUAAUACCGCAUACGACCUGAGGGUGAAAGCGGGGGACCGAAAGGCCUCGCGCUAUUGGAGCGGCCGAUGUCGGAUUAGCUAGUUGGUGGGGUAAAGGCUUACCAAGGCGACGAUCCGUAGCUGGUCUGAGAGGACGACCAGCCAACACGGGAAUUGAGAAAGGGCCCAGCCUCCUACGGGAGGAGGCGGGGGGGAUUUUGGGAAAAGGGGGGCAACCUGAACCCAGCCGUGCGGCGGGGGGGAAGAAGGCGUGGGGUUUGAAAACGGUUUUGGUGGGGGAAGAAAUCCUGUGGGCAAAUCCCCGGGGGGAAGGACGGUACGGAAAAAAAAAGCCCCGGCUAACAACGUC